rnacentral:rRNA from 1 species
CCUACGGGCGGCAGCAGUGGGGAAUAUUGGACAAUGGGGGGAACCCUGAUGCAGCCAUGCCGCGUGUGUGAAGAAGGCCCUCGGGUUGUAAAGCACUUUCAGUGAGGAAGAACGCCUGGUGGUUAAUACCCAUCAGGAAAGACAUCACUCACAGAAGAAGCACCGGCUAACUCCGUGCCAGCAGCCGCGGUAAUACGGAGGGUGCGAGCGUUAAUCGGAAUUACUGGGCGUAAAGCGCGCGUAGGUGGCUUGAUAAGCCGGUUGUGAAAGCCCCGGGCUCAACCUGGGAACGGCAUCCGGAACUGUCAAGCUAGAGUGCAGGAGAGGAAGGUAGAAUUCCCGGUGUAGCGGUGAAAUGCGUAGAGAUCGGGAGGAAUACCAGUGGCGAAGGCGGCCUUCUGGACUGAAACUGACACUGAGGUGCGAAAGCGUGGGUAGCAAACAGGAUUAGAUACCCGAGUAGUC